rnacentral:rRNA from 1 species
CAGCAGCCACGGUAAUACGUAGGUGGCGAGCGUUGUCCGGAAUCAUUGGGCGUAAAGGGAGCGCAGGCGGGCAAGUAAGUCUUUCUUAAAAGUUCGGGGCUCAACCCCGUGAUGGGAAAGGAACUACAUGUCUUGAGUACAGGAGAGGAAAGCGGAAUUCCCAGUGUAGCGGCGAAAUGCGUAGAUAUUGGGAGGAACACCAGUGGCGAAGGCGGCUUUCUGGACUGCAACUGACGCUGAGGCUCGAAAGCCAGGGGAGCGAACGGGAUUAGAGACCCCAGUAGUCCCUGUCUCUUAUACC